CCACCAUCCUCGUGGCGCGGUCAGAUGAGGAACGGACGAGGCGCGCGAGGGGAUAUAUGGCGGACACACUCAAGCCAAGGCGCCACGAGGGGAUCUAGCGUGAAGGGAUAGACGAGCGGACCCGUCCCUUCAAGUAGUUCUGUUGACCUCUCAUUGCUGGCGACCUCAACCUUGGGUGGAUCCUAGGUCCGCUGCCGCCACCGGCUCGCAGGCCUGCCGCUGUUAUGGUGUCCGAGGCUCUCCCAACCCCGCCCCUUUUUUCAUUCGGCAAUGGUGUGGUUUGCUCCACCAUGCCGGAAGAGGACCAGACGCCUUCCACGCGGUGGUCGAGCCCGUGGAGUCAUUGAAGCACGCAACAUCCUUGAUGAAAUAGUUGCCUGCUCUUAUUUUUUUCUCCAUUAGAGAUGAUGCAUGAGAUGUGACCCCGCAAUGAUUUUUUUAUCGAUCAGGGGUUGUUGUGCUUGUUUGUUUGGAAUUUCUAUAUUGGAAUAGGAAUUGCUUGGAACAUGUGCCUGACACACAACUGCGAUCAUGGCUGCUAGAGCGGUACAGUUGUUAGAAUUUCUAUUUUUGAAUUGCUCAGAAGGUGUUCCUGCUUUGGACACAAAUGUGUUUUGACUCUUGUAGGGCUUAUGUUUGAUGUACAAUAUCCAAGAGGCACGUGAGCUGCAAGAGUUCACAUUCAGGGCGCAAGAAUUGCGAAUAUCAAAUGCACCAACGGUUGAAGGAGCCCAUCCAUCCACUGAGAGCAUUGCAACUUUCGACAUGCCAUUGAUAAAUCUAUCUGUUUAGUCGCAUCAGAUACACCAUCCUUUAAUUAUAUUGCCGAUGUCACUGACAUAUAUGUAACUAAGAGAAAAUAGGACUUUGUAUGGAUGUCAGACUAUUAUUAUUUUGAGGUGUUUCACUCUGAAGCUUUGUCGAGAUUAGUAUAUAGUGAUCAAUUUCAUGGAUUGCCA